rnacentral:rRNA from 1 species
UACGUAGGGGGCAAGCGUUGUCCGGAAUCAUUGGGCGUAAAGAGCGCGUAGGCGGCUCGGUAAGUCGGGUGUGAAACCCCCAGGCUCAACCUGGGGACGCCACCCGAUACUGCUGUGGCUAGAGUCCAGUAGGGGAGUGUGGAAUUCCCGGUGUAGCGGUGAAAUGCGCAGAUAUCGGGAGGAACACCAGCGGCGAAGGCGGCACUCUGGGCUGGAACUGACGCUGAGGAGCGAAAGCGUGGGUAGCAAACAGG